AGAGUUUGAUCCUGGCUCAGGAUGAACGCUGGCGGUCUGCUUAACACAUGCAAGUCGAACGGGAAUCUUAGGAUUCUAGUGGCGGACGGGUGAGUAACGCGUGAGAAUCUGCCUUCAGGACGGGGAUAACAGGAGGAAACUGCUGCUAAAACCGGAUAUGCCGAAAGGUGAAAGUAUUAAUAGCCUGAAGAGGAGCUCGCGUCUGAUUAGCUAGUUGGUAGGGUAAAAGCUUACCAAGGCGACAAUCAGUAGCUGGUCUGAGAGGACGAUCAGCCACACUGGGACUGAGACACGGCCCAGACUCCUACGGGAGGCAGCAGUGGGGAAUUUUCCGCAAUGGGCGAAAGCCUGACGGAGCAAGACCGCGUGGGGGAGGAAGGUUCUUGGAUUGUAAACCCCUUUUCUCAGGGAAGAACACAAUGACGGUACCUGAGGAAUAAGCAUCGGCUAACUCCGUGCCAGCAGCCGCGGUAAUACGGAGGAUGCAAGCGUUAUCCGGAAUAAUUGGGCGUAAAGCGUCCGUAGGUGGUUAUUCAAGUCUGCCGUUAAAGAGUGGGGCUUAACCCCACAAAGGCGGUGGAAACUGAAAGACUAGAGUGCAGUAGGGGUAGAGGGAAUUCCCGGUGUAGCGGUGAAAUGCGUAGAGAUCGGGAAGAACACCGGCGGCGAAAGCGCUCUGCUGGACUGCAACUGACACUGAGGGACGAAAGCUAGGGGAGCGAAUGGGAUUAGAUACCCUAGUAGUCC
rnacentral:rRNA from 1 species